rnacentral:rRNA from 1 species
CAGCAGCCGCGGGAAUACGUAGGGUGCAAGCGUUAAUCGGAAUUACUGGGCGUAAAGCGUGCGCAGGCGGUUUGUUAAGACAGAUGUGAAAUCUCCGGGCUCAACCUGGGAACUGCAUUUGUGACUGGCAAGCUAGAGUGUGGCAGAGGGGGGUGGAAUUCCGCGUGUAGCAGUGAAAUGCGUAGAUAUGCGGAGGAACACCGAUGGCGAAGGCAGCCCCCUGGGACAACACUGACGCUGAGGCACGAAAGCGUGGGGAGCAAACAGGAUUAGAUACCCCUGUAGUCCCUGUCUCUUAUAC